rnacentral:rRNA from 1 species
GAUGAACGCUGGCGGCGUGCCUAAUACAUGCAAGUCAAGCGAACAGACGAGGAGCUUGCUCCUCUGACGUUAGCGGCGGACGGGUGAGUAACACGUGGAUAACCUACCUAUAAGACUGGGAUAACUUCGGGAAACCGGAGCUAAUACCGGAUAAAAUAUUGAACCGCAUGGUUCAAUAGUGAAAGACGGUUUUGCUGUCACUUAUAGAUGGAUCCGCGCCGCAUUAGCUAGUUGGUAAGGUAACGGCUUACCAAGGCAACGAUGCGUAGCCGACCUGAGAGGGUGAUCGGCCACACUGGAACUGAGACACGGUCCAGACUCCUACGGGAGGCAGCAGUAGGGAAUCUUCCGCAAUGGGCGAAAGCCUGACGGAGCAACGCCGCGUGAGUGAUGAAGGUCUUCGGAUCGUAAAACUCUGUUAUUAGGGAAGAACAAAUGUGUAAGUAACUAUGCACGUCUUGACGGUACCUAAUCAGAAAGCCACGGCUAACUACGUG